GGAGCCCUCUGAGUGUAAGCUGCCGUGUAGAGGAGAUUCCGUUUCUGGGGAUUCAGGAGGAUUGACCUGCCCAAGAAAUCAAAGAUGGUAUUUAGAACUUUAAAAAAAAAAAAAAAAAAGUUUUGUCCCAUGGAAAGAGGAUUACCUAGAAAGGACUGAAGAGGAUUACCAUUCAAGUAUAUCCAGGAAAGCCUGUUUUACACUGCAGAGUUCUCUGGCUGUAAGUCCUCGGCUUCAUGGGAAGGAAUGGAGGGAAAAAAACCUUACAUCCCCUUGCUACAAGCCCAUGGCUCCUACACCUUCAAGAGAAGGGAAAGUGGAGAGGGAGGUGCUGCUCUCUUCUCCCUGGGAUCCAGUGAUAAGAUGCAUGGGAGUGGUUUGAAGCUGCACCAGGGGAGGCUGGACAUUAGAAAGCAUUUCUUUGGAGAGAGGGUGGUCAAAAACUGGAACAGUGUUCUCUUCCUAGAGAGGUGGUCCAUGCCCCAAGCUGCCAGUUUUAAGAGGCAUUUUGGACAAUUGCCUUAAUACCAGGCUUUAACUUGGCCAGCCCUGAACUGGAUGUUGGAUUAGAUGCUGACUGUAAGACCACUCCAACUGAAAUGAUUUUAUUUUAUUAACAUUUGUGUCAGCAAAACUGGUGCAACAUCAAUAUCACAAGCACAAAAAGACUUCUGUCAAGUUGACUUUGUUUUUCUGAUGCACCAAUGUAAGUAUGUCAAUAUGAACUGCCAGUGUAUCCUAUGCCUAGCCUACAGAAUUGUGCUUGGACAGCUACAGGGGCAGCAGCUCUGUAAGACAGGCAACGUUUGGCAUCAGUGACAAGCUGGUGCAGGCAAACAGGUCUGGUGCCUGCUCUCUUGGCAUGGUUUUUCCACAGGACCCCAUACCCCAGUAAAGUCAGGGAUGCUGAGGAGCCGAUUCCCAACUCCUGUGGAAGUUGUGCUUUCUCUGUGUUUACUUUAUAUUCUUUCCAUCCCUGACAGACAGGACACCAAUGCAAGCACUAGUUUCAAUGUCUCUCUCAGGUGUACAAGUGACACAAAUGGUUGCAAUACCAGCCACGCUGGUUCUACUCUCUAC